GCCCUCAUCGUUUAGUGGUUUAAGACAUCUCUCUUUCAAGGAGACAGCGUGGAUUCGACCUCCUUUGGGGGUA
rnacentral:tRNA from 1 species